UCGGAUUGCAGUCUGCAACUCGACUGCAUGAAGCCGGAAUCGCUAGUAAUCGCGGAUCAGAAUGCCGCGGUGAAUACGUUCCCGGGUCUUGUACACACCGCCCGUCACACCAUGGGAGUCGGAAAUGCCCGAAGCCGGUGGCCUAACCGAUAAGGGAGGAGCCGUCGAAGGCAGGUCUGAUGACUGGGGUGAAGUCGUAACAAGGUAGC
rnacentral:rRNA from 1 species